GGAGGCUGUUCACCCCUGUUUAAACAGAGAACCACAGACAGAGGACAUUCAUUCAUGGCUGACUACUUUUGGAAGAUAUACUCUCUUUUCAAGUCCCCACAGCCUUCAGAAAGCAUGAAAUUGGCAAUAAUUUCUUGGCUAUAAUACCAAAAGCAUAGGAUGCAAAAGAAAACUUAGAUAAACUUGACUACAUCAAAAUUAAAAACCACUGUGCAUCAAAGGGCACAAUUAAUGGAGUGACAGUGUGGAUAAACAACCCAUGGAAUGGAAAAAAAAUAUCAAAUCAUAUAUCCGACAAAAGAUCAAUAUCCAGAACAUAUAAAGAACUCUUACAACGCAGCAGAAAAAAAAGACAACCCAGGCCAGGCGCGGUGGCUCACAUCUGUAAUCCCAGGACUUUGGAGGCCGAGAACUCUGUACUGUGAGGUGAACCUGGCAUGGUGAGAGAAGAAUUACUGGGC